rnacentral:rRNA from 1 species
UACGUUCCCGGGCCUUGUACACACCGCCCGUCAAGUCACGAAAGUCGGUAACACCCGAAGCCGGUGGCCCAACCCUUGCGGAGGGAGCCGUCGAAGGUGGGACUGGCGAUUGGGACU